UUAACAUUUUUGGCAUUUUCG
rnacentral:piRNA from 1 species